UACGAAGGGUGCAAGCGUUACUCGGAAUUACUGGGCGUAAAGCGCACGUAGGCGGCUCUUUAAGUCGGAGGUGAAAUCCUGGAGCUCAACUCCAGAACUGCCUUCGAUACUGAAGAGCUCGAGUCCGGGAGAGGUGAGUGGAACUGCGAGUGUAGAGGUGAAAUUCGUAGAUAUUCGCAAGAACACCAGUGGCGAAGGCGGCUCACUGGCCCGGUACUGACGCUGAGGUGCGAAAGCGUGGGGAGCAAACAGG
rnacentral:rRNA from 1 species